rnacentral:rRNA from 1 species
AAUUUGACUCAACACGGGAAAACUUACCAGGUCCGGACAGCAGAAGGAUUGACAGAUUGAAAGCUCUUUCAUGAUUGGUUGGGUGGUGGUGCAUGGCCGUUCUUAGUUCGUACCGUGAGGUGUCUGGUUGAUUCCGUUAACGAACGAGACCUUUGUGGGGGAAAAUAGAGGGGCAGAGGACGAACAGAUGUAGAGUAGCGCAUGCCUUUGAGACCCAAGAAAUUGACUUGAGGGUGGAUGAGUGAACGUCUGGCUAAAUUAAAGUCUUCUAGUCUUGAUAAAAAAAAAAAGAAGCGAUUCUUUUCUCUACUUUCCGAGACAACACAAGAAAAUUGUGAGGAAGUUGGAGGCAAAAACAGGUCUGUGAUGCCCUUAGAUGUUCUGGGCUGCACGCGCGUUACAAUGAUAAAAGCAGAGAGUGAAUGGGAGGGAAGGAAGGAGAAAGGGGAGAGUAAAAUCUUUUUUUUCUUUGGACGGAACUCUAAUACACGUUGGAUGAGAAACAUUUGACAAAUCUUGGAAAUUUUAUCGUACUAUGAAUUGUUAAUUGAAACUAUUUGACAUGAAAAAGGAAUGCCUAGUAGGUGCAAGUCAUCAACUUGCGCCGAUUACGUCCCUGUCUCUUGUACACACCGCCCGUCGCUCCUACCGAUUGAAACCAACGGUGAAAAAUUCGGAGAGAGUGGAUUUAGAAAUAGAUUUACGAUUGAAGUUUUUUAAAUCUUUUGUUUUAGAGGAAGGAGAAGUCGUAACAAGGUACC